GAAAUGAGUUCGAAACUUAGGCUUGAUUUCCACUAACAAAAAACCCACUCCGUUUUGCCUCCGUCUAGUUAAACCACGUCUCUUAUCUAUUGUCUAAAGUGUAAACGGAGAGAAAACGGAGUGCUUUUUUCGUAAGUGGAAAUCAAGACUUAAGCAUUAAGCUCAAAAGUGGAAAAU